rnacentral:rRNA from 1 species
UCGAACGGUGAAGCCCCGCUUGCGGGGUGGAUCAGUGGCGAACGGGUGAGUAACACGUGAGCAACCUGCCCCUGACUCUGGGAUAAGCGCUGGAAACGGCGUCUAAUACUGGAUACGAGACGUGAUCGCAUGGUCAACGUUUGGAAAGAUUUUUCGGUUGGGGAUGGGCUCGCGGCCUAUCAGCUUGUUGGUGAGGUAAUGGCUCACCAAGGCGUCGACGGGUAGCCGGCCUGAGAGGGUGACCGGCCACACUGGGACUGAGACACGGCCCAGACUCCUACGGGAGGCAGCAGUGGGGAAUAUUGCACAAUGGGCGCAAGCCUGAUGCAGCAACGCCGCGUGAGGGAUGACGGCCUUCGGGUUGUAAACCUCUUUUAGCAGGGAAGAAGCGAGAGUGACGGUACCUGCAGAAAAAGCACCGGCUAACUACGUGCCAGCAGCCGCGGUAAUACGUAGGGUGCAAGCGUUAUCCGGAAUUAUUGGGCGUAAAGAGCUCGUAGGCGGUUUGUCGCGUCUGCUGUGAAAUCUGGGGGCUCAACCCCCAGCCUGCAGUGGGUACGGGCAGACUAGAGUGCGGUAGGGGAGAUUGGAAUUCCUGGUGUAGCGGUGGAAUGCGCAGAUAUCAGGAGGAACACCGAUGGCGAAGGCAGAUCUCUGGGCCGUAACUGACGCUGAGGAGCGAAAGGGUGGGGAGCAAACAGGCUUAGAUACCCUGGUAGUCCACCCCGUAAACGUUGGGAACUAGUUGUGGGGUCCAUUCCACGGAUUCCGUGACGCAGCUAACGCAUUAAGUUCCCCGCCUGGGGAGUACGGCCGCA